rnacentral:tRNA from 1 species
GUUUUAAUAAUUUAAUAAAAAUAUUGGUCUUGUAAACCAAAAAUAAGGACCAACCUUUUAAAACU